AACGAACGCUGGCGGCAUGCCUAACACAUGCAAGUCGAACGAAGCCUUCGGGCUUAGUGGCGCACGGGUGCGUAACGCGUGGGAAUCUGCCCUUGGGUUCGGAAUAACAGUUAGAAAUGACUGCUAAUACCGAAUGAUGUCUUCGGACCAAAGAUUUAUCGCCCAAGGAUGAGCCCGCGUCGGAUUAGCUAGUUGGUGAGGUAAAGGCUCACCAAGGCGACGAUCCGUAGCUGGUCUGAGAGGAUGAUCAGCCACACUGGGACUGAGACACGGCCCAGACUCCUACGGGAGGCAGCAGUGGGGAAUAUUGGACAAUGGGCGAAAGCCUGAUCCAGCAAUGCCGCGUGAGUGAUGAAGGCCUUAGGGGUUGUUAAAAGGCUCUUUUACCCGGGAUGAUAAUGACAGUACCGGGAGGAAUAAAG
rnacentral:rRNA from 1 species